rnacentral:rRNA from 1 species
AGGACUAACGCUGGCGGCGUGCCUAACACAUGCAAGUCGAACGAGGGGUAGCAAUACCCCUAGUGGCAGACGGGUGAGUAACACGUAGUCAACCUACCUCUUAAUGGGGGAUAACUAGCCGAAAGGUUAGCUAAUACCGCAUACGAUCGUCGAGUGGCAUCACACGACGAUGAAAGGAGCAAUCCGUUGAGAGAGGGGACUGCGUCCCAUUAGUUAGUUGGUGGGGUAAUGGCCUACCAAGACUCCGAUGGGUAGCUGGCUUGAGAGAGCGACCAGCCACACUGGAACUGAGACACGGUCCAGACUCCUACGGGAGGCAGCAGUGAGGAAUUUUCCGCAAUGGGGGAAACCCUGACGGAGCGACGCCGCGUGUGGGAAGAAGGCCUUCGGUCGUAACCGACUGUCGAGGGGACGAUAUUGACGGUACCCUGGAGGAAGCCCGGCUAACUACGCGCCAGCAGCCGC